AUUGAACGCUGGCGGCAUGCUUUACACAUGCAAGUCGAACGGUAACAGGGUGCUUGCACCGCUGGCGAGUGGCGAACGGGUGAGUAAUGCGUCGGAACGUGCCGAGUAGUGGGGGAUAACGCAGCGAAAGUUGUGCUAAUACCGCAUACGUACUGAGGUAGAAAGUGGGGGACCUUCGGGCCUCACGCUAUUCGAGCGGCCGACGUCUGAUUAGCUAGUAGGUGAGGCAAAGGCUCACCUAGGCGACGAUCAGUAGCGGGUCUGAGAGGAUGGUCCGCCACACUGGGACUGAGACACGGCCCAGACUCCUACGGGAGGCAGCAGUGGGGAAUUUUGGACAAUGGGCGAAAGCCUGAUCCAGCCAUGCCGCGUGUCUGAAGAAGGCCUUCGGGUUGUAAAGGACUUUUGUCAGGGAGGAAAUCCCUAGUGCUAAUAACACUGGGGGAUGACAGUACCUGAAGAAUAAGCACCGGCUAACUACGUGCCAGCCGCCGCCGUAA
rnacentral:rRNA from 1 species